UUUAACCUAUAAGAGGUGUUCCUGGUUUGAUGUGUUAUUGGGAUGCCCAUCAAACCAGGCGUCCUGGCUCUUAGCAGCUUGCUGAAGAUACAGACCCUGAUUCUGAUUGGCAGGUCUGGGAUGUGUUCUAGCCAGUGAGGAGGGUCCCUGUCUAGGCCCAGCAGGUUCCCAAGGAAGCUGUUGUCUCUGCCAGUCUCAGUCUGUGGGAUUGUGCCCUCAGUGACAGGGAUUGGUAGAGUUGGGGGACAGUCUGGACACAGGCUCAAAGGAUGUUUCCUUUGCCUUUUCCCGGGUCUACUGUUUCAGUGCUCCUGGGCUCUCUGCUCUCUCCCGGACCAGCGCCCACUUUGAGCAGGCUGAGGCGUGUCCUUAGAGACGGAAUAAGAAGGUGGAAAGAGCUUGUGUCCCUGGCCCUGUGGAGUCACCAUCACAGCUAGGUCUGUUGCCGCCUGUGCUGCUACAUGGGGGAGGAGGAGCUUCCCUUGGUGGAACCACUUGAAAUCUCAGUGAGAGCAGCUAGCUCACAAGCCAGUGAAGACGCCGGCAUCGUGAAAGAAAGGAGUCACUUUCCUGGUCGCUGGAUGUGAAGUGGAGUCCUGGGGGCCCAAGAGGCAGAGUGGAGGCUCCAGGCUGCCCCGUCUUCGUCUGACCUGGCUGUGGAAGCAGAUAGAAGCAUCCACCUUUUACGACUGAAAUUGAAUCACAUGACAUUGCCAAAGUGCAACCAUAUUUAGCUUCUCAGACAGCCAUUUCAUAUGCUACAAUGUGAUGCUUUGCAUCUGAACUCUGUUCCAUGCUAGCAGCAGACUGAAGUCCAGGUUUCCUAGGCCCAUUCAGAGCAGGACCCUGGACCCUGGACUGGAGAACAAGGGAGAGAGUCGGUCUUUAAAACAGGCAGAAGAUCAAGUUUGUCUUAAGGGGCUGAGGCAGACCCCACUCCCCACGUCAGGCGCCCCCGCUCCUGGGUUCUCCAGUGACCUCUAGGCUGGGCCUGGUUUGGGGUGUGCAGUGGGAGCUGGCGAGGGGACCCUGGAAAAGCCCUCCUAGCCGGGUGGUGUGUGCCCUCCUGACUAAGUGGGCAGAGUUUUCUGGAGGCUUUAGGAGGCUUUGUGUUUCUGGACACACCCAGCAUCCCUACCCCAUCUGGGCUACAAAUCCUGGUGGUGAGGGCUGUGUGGGAGGCCAAGCUGAGUGGAAGCAGCUCCUAGGCAAGGAGCCCUGAGGUGAUUCCUGAACCUCAGGGACAGCAGCCAACCAGGCCCACACAGCAGGUAUCUGAACUCAUCCAAGGGCAAAGUGGCCUGGGAGGUUUCAAGCUACAGAGUGACAGAAGGUUUAUAAAUUGCACCAAGGAUGAGAGAGUUUCCUUCCUGGGAUUCACCAGCCUGCCUCACAGUCAUGGAACAGACUUGCCUGGAUAUCUUGGAGCCUGGUGGUGCUGUUAGGGACUUGGCAUCUUUCUUGUCAGGAGGAUAGAAACAGAAGAGGGAGGGGCUCAGCUCAGAUCAUUUUAUCCAUCUGUCCAUCCAUCCAUCCAUCCACCCAUCCACCCAUCCAACCAUCCAUUAAGCCAGUGGUAACUGGGUGUCUACACAUGCCUGGCACUGUGCUAGGCGCUUGGCAUAUAGCAGUGAACAAAACAAACAAAUAUCUCUGGCUUUCUGUUACUGCAGCCGCUUGGGUAAAGCCAUUAAUAACUAUGUCGCUAUUAAACAGCUCCUAUCUUUUCUACCAUGACAUCAUUAAAUGGAUACAAUUUGUGUGUGUGUGUGUUUUAAAACUUUAAUAAACAGAAAUGCUCAGGGCAUAAUGUGAGAUUUUUAGGAAGCCUGAUCCAAAAUUGCACAUAUAGUUUGAUUCUACCUAUGUUAACAUACAUGUGCCCUGAAAAGGCACAAGAAGGAAAUAGCUGUUAAACAGAAGUAGCAGUGUGGCAGAUGUUUUAUCCUAGUAUGGCCCACAAGAUCUCCC
ensembl:lncRNA